CCGCACUGCUCCUACACGAGGGAGGGCCAUUGAUUGCUAAAGGAUUUGCUCUUCCUCAGUGAGACAUUCGGUUAUUUGUUUGUCUUGUCCAAAAACAGACGUGUGCUUGUGAGAUUGAAUGUGGUAAACAGGGGGUGAGCAAUUUUAUUAUUGCAAGAAAAAGAAUCGUAAUUUGCAUAGCAACAUGUGCUUGUCAUAACCUACCGGGUAUGCAAAAGAAAACAAGCAUUGGUUUGUACAUUUAGCAUCUUGAUUCACCAAAAGAAAUGAAAUUCUUUUAAAAUUAUUAUUUGUAUCUUUAUUGUAUGGCAAUCUUUUUUUGUAUGGAAAUCUUUACUCACCAUCCUUGAUAUUGAAGAAUUCUCAUAAGGCGGUACUUUUGUACAGUCAGAGUAAUCUCCCGUCUUUAAAAGCAAACUACUGUGUUUGACAAUAUUUGUAUUUUAUCUAGGAAUUCUAAUCAUUGUAUAAGACCAAGAUACUGUUGUUGUAUUGUGUUUUGUGCAUUGCACACAUUUCCCAUCUUCGUUAACACUUUGCUGUCUCGGGGUAUUUUUCCAGGAGAAAUUAGAAAAACCAUUUGGAAUAAAAUAAAUAUGUUUCAUUUGUGUAAAAUGGCCUCAGGAAUCAAUUGGUUUAUAACAAUCAUGUUUGUGGAAGAUCGAUUUGUCUGAUGAAGAAUUUACAGUAGAACUUUAAACAAACUUUGACUGUUCUUCACUUGCCUCAGGAUAACAGGAAAAUGUAUUUUGCAAAUCAUAACAUUUAUUUCACAGAUAUAGGCUGGUCUGGGACUUGUGUUACUAGUAAUCACGCUCACUGUGAAAUUAAUAAAAUUAAUAAUCAUACAUGAAGAUAAAAAGGAAUUAAUCAAUGUUCGUUGAACAGUUGUGAAUGAUAUCCGACGUUUUAAUACAGUUAUCAUCAUUAUUAAAUCCAUCUAAGCUUUGUUGUUGUUGUCUUCUGUUGUUGUCAUAAGCAUGUAUAUCAGAUUAACAAUUACAUGUAUGUACAAUGCAAUACUUAAAUGAAGACUUCAUUAAUAGAAUCUGGAGCUAUUUGUAUUAUCACCAAUCAUCAUGUUUUAGAUACUGUUGUGAUUUGAGCAACUAUUGUGCACUAGUUGUAUCUAAUAAACCAAAGAUUAAAGU
rnacentral:misc_RNA from 1 species